rnacentral:tRNA from 1 species
AGUUAAUGAGCUUGAAUAAGCUUAUGUUUUGAAAACAUAUCAUAGAAAUUAAAUUUUCUAUUAACUU